rnacentral:rRNA from 1 species
CCUACGGGUGGCAGCAGUGGGGAAUAUUGCGCAAUGGGGGAAACCCUGACGCAGCAACGCCGCGUGGAGGAUGAAGGCCUUCGGGUUGUAAACUCCUGUCUUCGCUGACGAUAAUGACGGUAAGCGAGGAGGAAGCCACGGCUAACUACGUGCCAGCAGCCGCGGUAAUACGUAGGUGGCGAGCGUUGUCCGGAAUUACUGGGCGUAAAGGGUGCGUAGGCGGAAUCUUAAGUCAGAUGUGAAAUCCCCGGGCUUAACCUGGGGACUGCAUUUGAAACUGGGGUUCUAGAGUGCAGGAGAGGAAAGCGGAAUUCCUAGUGUAGCGGUGAAAUGCGUAGAUAUUAGGAAGAACACCAGUGGCGAAGGCGGCUUUCUGGACUGUAACUGACGCUGAGGCACGAAAGCGUGGGGAGCAAACAGGAUUAGAUACCCCUGUAGU